rnacentral:rRNA from 1 species
UACGGAGGGUGCGAGCGUUGUCCGGAAUCAUUGGGCGUAAAGGGCGCGUAGGUGGCCCGGUCAGUCUUUGGUGAAAGCGCGGGGCUCAACCCUGCGUCGGCCAGGGAUACUGCCGCGGCUCGAGCACUGUAGAGGCAGGCGGAAUUCCGGGUGUAACGGUGGAAUGCGUAGAGAUCCGGAAGAACGCCGGUGGCGAAAGCGCAUCACUGGUCCUCUUCUGACGCUGAGGCGCGAAAGCCAGGGGAGCAAACGGG